rnacentral:rRNA from 1 species
UAAAGCAAUUAAGGGCGUAUGGUGGAUGCCUUGGGUCUGAGAGGCGAUGAAGGACGUGGUAAGCUGCGAUAAGCUUCGGGGAGCUGCACACGAGCGUUAUAUCCGAAGAUUUCCGAAUGGGACAACCCAGUAUACUGAAGGUAUAUUACUCGAAAGAGAGCCAACUCCGUGAACUGAAACAUCUAAGUAGCGGAAGGAAAAGAAAACAAUAGUGAUUCCCUGAGUAGUGGCGAGCGAAAAGGGACAAGCCCAAACCGAAUCCGCUUGCGGGUUCGGGGUUAUAGGACUGCAUUUAGAAACUAAUGUCAAGCUGAAUCAUCUGGAAAGAUGGGCCAUAGCAGGUGAUAGCCCUGUAAGCACAAAUCAUUAGGGACGAGCAGUAUCCUGAGUAAUGCGGGACCGGAGGAAUCUUGCAUGAAUUUGUCAGCACCAUCUGAUAAGGCUAAAUACUCCUCAGACACCGAUAGUGAACCAGUACCGUAAGGGAAAGGUGAAAAGCACCCCGAACAGGGGAGUGAAAUAGUACCUGAAACCGUACGCCUACAAGCGGUCGAAGCCAGCAAUGGUGACGGCGUGCCUUUUGCAUAAUGAACCUACGAGUUACUCCUCACUGGCGAGGUUAAGUUCUUAUUUAACGGAGCCGAAGCGAAAGCGAGUCCAAAUAGGGCGAUUAGUCAGUGGGGGUAGACGCGAAACUUUGUGAUCUAUCCAUGGGCAGGUUGAAGGUGUGGUAACACACACUGGAGGACCGAACUCGUUGACGUUGAAAAGUCUUGAGAUGACCUGUGGAUAGGGGUGAAAGGCCAAUCAAACUGAGAGAUAGCUCGUUCUCCCCGAAAUGUUUUUAGGAACAGCCUCGGCUAAAGAAGUAUGAUAGAGGUAGAGCUACUGAUUGGGCUAGGGGGCUUCAUCGCCUACCAAACCCUGACAAACUCCGAAUGCUAUCAUAUAUCGCCAGGAGUGAGGCUGUGGGCGCUAAGGUCCAUGGCCGAGAGGGAAAUAACCCAGACUAGCAACUAAGGUCCCCAAUACAUAGUUAAGUUGAUCAAACGAGGUGGGAUUUCUAUAACAGCCAGGAUGUUGGCUUGGAAGCAGCCAUUCAUUUAAAGAGUGCGUAACAGCUCACUGGUCGAGAGAUCCUGCACGGAAAAUAAUCGGGCAUCAAACUAUGAACCGAAGUUCUAGAUUCAAUAUUUAUUUAUUGAGUGGUAGGGGAGCAUUGAAAUCUGCAUCGAAGGUGUGGCGCGAGCCAUGCUGGAGCGAUUUCAAAAGAAAAUGUAGGUAUAAGUAACGAUAAAAGUAGUGAAAAACUACUUCGCCGAAAGUCUAAGGUUUCCUGAUCAACGUUAAUCGGAUCAGGGUUAGUCUGGUCCUUAGGAAAACCCGAAAGGGGCAUCUGAUGGAAAGCUAGUUAAUAUUCUAGCACCUACUAUGCAUUAAAAGUGACGCAGGGACGUGGUUGUUACGAACAGACGGAUGUUCGUUGAGUGGAACCUUCGGGGGAAGCGAAACAAUAAAAUCCUUGCCAAGAAAAGCGAGCAUAGCAGCCAGUACCGGAAUCCGACACAGGUAGACGGGAUGAGUAUUCUAAGGCGCUCGGGUGAGCCGCGGAGAAGGAACUAGGCAAAUUAAUGCUGUAACUUCGGGAUAAAGCAUACCGCAGUGAUGCGGUCACAGUAAAUAGGUACAACCAACUGUUUAACAAAAACACAGGGCCCUGCAAAAACGUAAGUUGACGUAUAGAGCCUGAAACCUGCCCGGUGCUGGAAGGUUAAGGAAGGGUGUUCGUCGCAAGACAAAGCUCCUGACUGAAGCCCCAGUAAACGGCGGCCGUAACUAUAACGGUCCUAAGGUAGCGAAAUUCCUUGUCGGGUAAGUUCCGACCU